UCCUCUCUUUGCUCUCAUUUUUCACUCCCCACUCCUUCCUCCACUCCCUCACACUCCUCUCAUACCUCUUACCCACGAGCUGCUGCUCCUCCCAAGCUCCAUGGCCGGCCAUGGCCAUGGAAAUCCACCUAGAUGAAGCUCCCCUCCUCCCUCAAGCUUCCCCUCACCAUUAGAGCCUCCCUCUCCUUCUUCUCCCCAACCCUAGAUGGUUUUCUCUCCUCUUCUUCUUCCUCCCUUGCUAAGAUUGGAUCUUGAUGCAGGUGCAUGUUGGUCCAAGCAUGGAGAAGCUUGAGCUAUCCUCAGAUCUGAAGUUCUUGAGCAAAAUCCAAAUCGAGUGAUUCAAAGUUCCGCAGAUAGGUAUUGAAAAGAUCUACAACUUGGCGUUGGUCUCAUCCUCAAAUUCGUUACGGAUUUUGCAUGAUCAAUAUCUGGUCAGAUCUGACUUUGUCGAAUUAAACCAGGAGCUUGGAAACGAAUUUUUGAAUGAAACCAAUUGGGAUGUUAUCUACCAGGGGAUAUUUCGUUUAUACCAUGGUGAUACCCGAGAAAGGCAAUUGCUAAGUUGUGAUACUCUCAUACCUUUACUAGAUGCGAACGAUUCCGGAGAAGAAGAAGAAGUGGUUCGGACAAGGAUUUUAUUUAUAUUGACGGGAUUCUGAUAUUGAUGAAGUUGAAGAAGUCCAGGGACAAAUAAGCCAAGGCAAGCCAUCUCUUGAUCUCUGAAUAUUGAAUCACAUAUUGUGGUUACUUUGUUAUUAUUAUUGUCUCUCGAUCUAUCUUGUGUGAUUUCUACUUUUGUUGUCGGAGCAUGCUUACCGUGAGCAUGUUUACUCUCUUUGGCACCUCGCCGACAAACCCCUUUUUGUGAAUGGUGGUUGUCAACAUCAUGA